AAAUCAUCAAAGGCUCUUUUCCCAUAUCAAGCAUCAAACUUAAAACAACUUCCCUGAAAAAUUGUUCAAUCACUGGAUGUGGAUGUAGAUUCCUAAGAUAUCAUUGGAUCAACGGCCCAUUCAGUUUAAAAUGGCCUUUCAUGAUUGAUCCGUCAAACAAAAACAAACAAAAAAGAGGUUGUUUGCGUUGACUCUGUGAUAUCUAAAUCUGAGUUUAUAAAAAUCAAUGGUUGCUCCAUAUCUUGAAUCCAUCCAACAAUGGAGAAGAACGGUGAGCUUGUUCGUGCAGCAAAGAGUUUCGUCUUUGGCUGUGUCGCCGGUGUUGCAGCCGGUUUGUAUUUAUCCCGUUCUGGUUUAUGAAUUGGUUUAUUCCUUUUCCCGCACACAUCCUUUCCAUCAUCGUUUAAAUAAUAUUCAACUUCAAUCGGUCCGAGUUGUUAUUUGAUCUUCGUGUUUCGUAGUUUUCUAUUUAUCGUUUUGAUUUUCAAAAAAUUAAAAAAACAGAAAGAGCUUUGCGCUUGUGUGACUGAUUCUGCGCGUCUGCAAUCAGGAACUGUGUCGGGAAUACAAGAAAUAAAAGCGUGUGAGGAGGUGGUAUGGCAUCUUAACCCAAACUUCAAAAUCAUUUUUUUUUUGUUUCUUCGUUUGGAUUAUUUCAGAUGUUAAUUAGAAAUUAUUUACAAACCAACAACAACAACAAAAAAUGCAGAUGUCAAGAGAUCUGAGUUUGAAUGAUUGUAUUCUUUAGUUCGCACUGUAAUUGACAUAUAUGUAUGUAUGUAUUCACUAUUCAUAAAUCUAUUGAUUUUUAGUAUCUUUCUUCUU
rnacentral:lncRNA from 1 species